UACGUAGGGUGCGAGCGUUAAUCGGAAUUACUGGGCGUAAAGCGUGCGCAGGCGGUUCGUUAAGUCAGAUGUGAAAGCCCCGGGCUCAACCUGGGAACUGCAUUUGAAACUGGCGGGCUUGAGUGCGGCAGAGGGGGUGGAAUUCCGCGUGUAGCAGUGAAAUGCGUAGAGAUGCGGAGGAACACCGAUGGCGAAGGCAGCCCCCUGGGCCGACACUGACGCUCAGGCACGAAAGCGUGGGGAGCAAACAGG
rnacentral:rRNA from 1 species